UACGUAGGGGGCGAGCGUUGUCCGGAUUUAUUGGGCGUAAAGAGCGUGUAGGCGGCCAGGUAGGUCUGCUGUGAAAACUCGAGGCUCAACCUCGAGACGUCGGCGGAAACCAUCUGGCUAGAGUCCGGAAGAGGAGAGUGGAAUUCCUGGUGUAGCGGUGAAAUGCGCAGAUAUCAGGAAGAACACCCGUGGCUAAGGCGGCUCUCUAGUACGGUACUGACGCUGAGACGCGAAAGCGUGGGGAGCGAACAGG
rnacentral:rRNA from 1 species